rnacentral:rRNA from 1 species
AACGAACGCUGGCGGCAGGCUUAACACGUGCAAGUCGAACGCAUCCUUCGGGGUGAGUGGCAGACGGGUGAGUAACGCGUGGGAACGUGCCCUUCAGUUCGGGAUAACCCAGGGAAACUUGGGCUAAUACCGGAUACGUGCGAGAGCAGAAAGAUUUAUCGCUGAAGGAUCGGCCCGCGUCUGAUUAGCUAGUUGGUGGGGUAAUGGCCCACCAAGGCGACGAUCAGUAGCUGGUCUGAGAGGAUGAUCAGCCACAUUGGGACUGAGACACGGCCCAAACCCCUACGGGAGGCAGCAGUGGGGAAUAUUGGACAAUGGGCGCAAGCUUGAUCCAGCCAUGCCGCGUGAGUGAUGAAGGCCUUAGGGUUGUAAAGCUCUUUCGUCCGGGACGAUAAUGACGGUACCGGAAGAAGAAGCCCCGGCUAACUUCGUGCCAGCCGCCGCGGUAA